rnacentral:rRNA from 1 species
CCUACGGGUUGCAGCAGUAGGGAAUCUUCGGCAAUGGACGAAAGUCUGACCGAGCAACGCCGCGUGAGUGAAGAAGGUUUUCGGAUCGUAAAACUCUGUUGUUAGAGAAGAACAAGUAGGAGAGUAACUGCUCUUACCUUGACGGUAUCUAACCAGAAAGCCACGGCUAACUACGUGCCAGCAGCCGCGGUAAUACGUAGGUGGCAAGCGUUGUCCGGAAUUAUUGGGCGUAAAGGGCUCGCAGGCGGUUUCUUAAGUCUGAUGUGAAAGCCCCCGGCUCAACCGGGGAGGGUCAUUGGAAACUGGGAAACUUGAGUGCGGAAGAGGAGAGUGGAAUUCCACGUGUAGCGGUGAAAUGCGUAGAGAUGUGGAGGAACACCAGUGGCGAAGGCGACUCUCUGGUCUGUAACUGACGCUGAGGAGCUAAAGCGUGGGGAGCGAACAGGAUUAGAUACCCCCGUAGUC